UGCCCUCUAGCUAUAGCAGCAGUCUAGCGCCGGCAGUCACGCUAUAGCAGCGGUUUAGCGUUCGAUCGUCGCGACAUCUAUAUUAGUUAAGCGCCGAUAGUCACGCUAUAGCAGCAGUUUGGCGUUCGAUCGUCGCGACAUCUAUAUUGACCGAGUGUGAUUACGCGUGGGUAUUUACAAGUACUCGAAUGUGGCAGGUACUUUAAAUACUCGAAUACCAUUCUGAUGAGUAUUUCCACGGUUUUCUUUGAAUGCUAUGAACAAUAUUUUGUACAACGUUUUCCGAAACAAAUAAUUCUGCGUUUUGUGUUUCACGUUUUCGAAUCUAAGAACCUAAAACAUUGUGACGUGUCAGCAUUUUCGGUAUGAUAGUGGUGGGCACUGUCGUGUUCCUGCCACGCCCGUUUUUGUGCGGCCGACAUUCUUGUUCAGGAUUGUUUCUGAGGAUGGUUUGAUUUCCCUGGCGCUAAUGAGUGAGUUUAGGAAGUGAAAUCUUGCAUAACUCUAUGUGGAUUGAAUCAGAUAAAUGCCCGUUGUUGAUGGUGAUAUGAAACUAGCAGAUUUACCGUGAUCUCUGUCUGAUAUCAGCACUUGAACUCUGCGCUGGAUUUGUAUUUGUUUGCCGCAUUUCAUGUAUGUAGAGCUAAAGGUCCGCGAUAAGGCCUAGAAACUAGAAAGUAUUUUGAGAAUGUUAUUUUGUUUAAGGCUGUGAAUAGCCAAGCCAAAGGUGUUUCAGGUUUGUCCGUGUUUGAGUACCAAACUGAUAACUUUGUUUCUGCAGGAAUAAUAUGAAGAGACUGUUUCGACCGUGUGUCAGAGGGAAUCAGCCCCCCAGUUAGUCCGGCAUGAGGUGCACACAGUCAAAACGGAUCUAUAGACAAGAUGAAUACAAGGUCCUGUGUUUGAC